rnacentral:rRNA from 1 species
GACGAACGCUGGCGGCGUGCUUAACACAUGCAAGUCGAACGGAAAGGCCCUGCUUUUGUGGGGUGCUCGAGUGGCGAACGGGUGAGUAACACGUGAGUAACCUGCCCUUGACUUUGGGAUAACUUCAGGAAACUGGGGCGAAUACCGGAUAGGAGCUCCUGCUGCAUGGUGGGGGUUGGAAAGUUUCGGCGGUUGGGUAUGGACUCGCGGCUUAUCAGCUUGUUGGUGGGGUAGUGGCUUACCAAGGCUUUGACGGGUAGCCGGCCUGAGAGGGUGACCGGCCACAUUGGGACUGAGAUACGGCCCAGACUCCUACGGGAGGCAGCAGUGGGGAAUAUUGCACAAUGGGCGGAAGCCUGAUGCAGCAACGCCGCGUGCGGGAUGACGGCCUUCGGGUUGUAAACCGCUUUCGCCUGUGACGAAGCGUGAGUGACGGUAAUGGGUAAAGAAGCACCGGCUAACUACGUG